rnacentral:tRNA from 1 species
GCCUUCGUGGUGUAGUGGUCAGCACGCUCGGCGCGUGUGCGAGAGGUCCGUGGUUCGAGUCCCGGCGAGAGUA